UACGUAGGUGGCAAGCGUUGUUCGGAAUUAUUGGGCGUAAAGGGCGCGUAGGCGGUUUGUUAAGUCGGUUGUGAAAGCCCGGGGCUCAACCCCGGAGAGUCGACCGAUACUGGCAAACUAGAGUACGGAAGAGGUAGCUGGAAUUCCCGGUGUAGCGGUGAAAUGCGUAGAUAUCGAGAGGAACACCUGCGGCGAAGGCGGGUUGCUGGGCUGACACUGACGCUGAGGCGCGAAAGCUAGGGGAGCGAACGGG
rnacentral:rRNA from 1 species